UACGUAGGGGGCAAGCGUUGUCCGGAAUUAUUGGGCGUAAAGAGCGCGUAGGCGGUCCGAUAAGUCGGCUGUGAAAGUCAGGGGCUCAACCCUUGAAAGCCGGCCGAUACUGUCGGACUAGAGUCCGGAAGAGGCAAGUGGAAUUCCCGGUGUAGCGGUGAAAUGCGCAGAUAUCGGGAGGAACACCAAUGGCGAAGGCAGCUUGCUGGGACGGUACUGACGCUCAGACGCGAAAGCUAGGGGAGCAAACGGG
rnacentral:rRNA from 1 species